AUUUGUUCUACCUUGGCUGAACAGGAAGUGGACAUACCGUCGGUAUUACAAGACAGGAAAAAAAGAGACCUCAUCAGCAAACAAUACCAGCAGCAGCAUUAACAGGGACCUGUUGAUGUACAUGCUGAUACGUUGUUUUAUAAGCGUCAUAUUCCUCGCCUUGUUUUACGGGUUUACCACCAUUAUUGCUCCUUUGACGAUGGAACCUCCGGUUUCUUCGCCCACCACCAUAAUUGCAGUUUCAGUCCCAGAACGUGAAGAUGAGGAAAGACAAAUACAUGAAGCGAAGGACCUACAGAASAAGAUGGACUACCUUUUUCCAUUGGCAGAUAUGAUGGCAAACUUCGCUUUGAAGYC